rnacentral:rRNA from 1 species
UACGGGGGGGGCAAGCGUUGUUCGGAAUUACUGGGCGUAAAGGGCUCGUAGGCGGCCAACUAAGUCGGACGUGAAAUCCCCAGGCUCAACCUGGGAACUGCGUCUGAUACUGGAUGGCUUGAAUCCGGGAGAGGGAUGCGGAAUUCCAGGUGUAGCGGUGAAAUGCGUAGAUAUCUGGAGGAACACCGGUGGCGAAGGCGGCAUCCUGGACCGGUAUUGACGCUGAGGCGCGAAAGCCAGGGGAGCAAACGGG